GUUUGUGGCUGAGUGGUAGAGCACUUGCUUCACAUGUGUGAGGCACUGGGUUGGAUUCUCAGCACUACA
rnacentral:tRNA from 1 species